AAAGAAAGGAAAGAAAAGAAAAAGGGCUAUUCGGGCACAGAAGGACAUCUGUUUGCCCCUCAUUUGUGUUUCUGCGUUAUCCUUUACGUUAUCUUUAUGAACCUUUUCU
rnacentral:ribozyme from 1 species